UUGUCAUGAAAUUAGAGUUAAUGAUGUUGUAGUGGAAAAAUUAAAUUGUAUUAAGUGGAAUUAGAAGGAAGAAAAUUGCAUGAUUAAGUGUUGGUAUUGUUGUUGUUGGUAUUUUUAUUGAUGUUUGGCUAAGUUGGAAUUUCGAGGAUUGUUAAGUUUACAGGGGAAAUGCUGCCCGAAUUUUGUUAAGUUUCAUUCGUACUUGGAUUGGUUAGUAAGUGAUGUGGAUAAUCUAACCGUGGCCUAUGUUAUCUUAAUUUUAGACCUGCGAGCUCGAGAAGUAGACGUUGGACAUUAGAUAGAGUUCAAGGUAGACAGGGAGGUGAGCUUGAUCCAGAUUCUUAGUAGCUGUCAGCUGAUUGAGAGCACUCCAUUGUUCGGAGGUGCUUAUGUUUAUUCUUUUGGCUCCUUUAUGUAUUUCGCGCACGACGGAGUCUUGUUCCGUCUAUAUGUAUAAUAUGUCAGUAGAGGCUCGUAGAUGCGCAGUGUGGGUUAGAUGGUCUCACAAGAUUACUAUGUUAUAUUUGUAUAUGUUAUUUUGAUGGCCUAAGGGGCACAUGUAUAAUAAAAUCAUUUGUGUUGUCAAAUGAAAAAUGGUUGUCUUA